UACGUAGGGUGCAAGCGUUAAUCGGAAUUAUUGGGCGUAAAGGGUGCGCAGGCGGUAUUGUAAGUCAGAUGUGAAAGCCCCGGGCUUAACCUGGGAAUUGCGUUUGAAACUGCAAUGCUAGAGUGUGGUAGAGGAGAGUGGAAUUCCAUGUGUAGCAGUGAAAUGCGUAGAGAUGUGGAAGAACACCAAUGGCGAAGGCAGCUCUCUGGAUUAACACUGACGCUCAUGCACGAAAGCGUGGGGAGCAAACAGGAUUAGAUACCCUUGUAGUCC
rnacentral:rRNA from 1 species